rnacentral:rRNA from 1 species
ACAGCAGUAGCCGCGGUAAAACGGAGGGGGCUAGCGUUGUUCGGAAUUACUGGGCGUAAAGCGCACGUAGGCGGCUUGGUAAGUUAGAGGUGAAAGCCUGGAGCUCAACUCCAGAAUUGCCUUUAAGACUGCCGAGCUAGCAGGUGAGAGAGGUAAGUGGAAUUCCGAGUGUAGAGGUGAAAUUCGUAGAUAUUCGGAAGAACACCAGUGGCGAAGGCGGCUUACUGGCUCAUACUGGACGCUGAGGUGCGAAAGCGUGGGGAGCAAACAGGAUUAGAUACCCCUGUAGUCCCUGUCUCUUAUAC